rnacentral:rRNA from 1 species
UACAUGGGGUGCAAACGUUGCUCGGAAUCAUUGGGCGUAAAGCGCGCGUAGGCGGUUACUUAAGUCGAAUGUGAAAGCCCUCGGCUUAACUGAGGAAGUGCAUCCGAAACUGAGUAGCUAGAGUACGAAAGAGGGUCGCGGAAUUCCCGGUGUAGAGGUGAAAUUCGUAGAUAUCGGGAGGAACACCGGUGGCGAAGGCGGCGACCUGGACAGGCACUGACACUCAACUACGAAAGCGUGGGGAGCAAACAGG